UUCGAGACGAGCGGCUUAAUGUCGCGAAGCAAUCGGAAGUGGUUCCAAGAAAAGCCUCUAAGCUUCAGUCUAACGAGACCGUACCGCAAACCGACACAGGUGGGCGAGAUGAGUAUUCUAAGGCGCUUGAGAGAACUCGGGAGAAGGAACACGGCAAAUUGGUACCGUAACUUCGGGAUAAGGUACGCCCUUGUAGUUUGACCACUUUACCGUGGAAGGACGAAAGGGUUGCAAUAAACUGGUGGCUGCGACUGUUUAAUAAAAACACAGCACUCUGCAAACACGAAAGUGGACGUAUAGGGUGUGACGCCUGCCCGGUGCUGGAAGAUUAAACGAUGGGGUGCAAGCUCUUGAUUGAAGUCCCAGUAAACGGCGGCCGUAACUAUAACGGUCCUAAGGUAGCGAAAUUCCUUGUCGGGUAAGUUCCGACCUGCACGAAUGGCGUAACGAUGGCCACACUGUCUCCUCCCGAGACUCAGCGAAGUUGAAAUGUUUGUGAUGAUGCAUCUACCCGCGGCUAGACGGAAAGACCCCAUGAACCUUUACUGUAGCUUUGCAUUGGACUUUGAACCAAUCUGUGUAGGAUAGGUGGGAGGCUUUGAAGCGGGGACGCCAGUCCUUGUGGAGCCAACCUUGAAAUACCACCCUGGUUUGUUUGAGGUUCUAACCUUGGUCCGUUAUCCGGAUCGGGGACAGUGCAUGGUAGGCAGUUUGACUGGGGCGGUCUCCUCCCAAAGUGUAACGGAGGAGUUCGAAGGUACGCUAGGUACGGUCGGACAUCGUGCUAAUAGUGCAAUGGCAUAAGCGUGCUUAACUGCGAGACUGACAAGUCGAGCAGGUACGAAAGUAGGACAUAGUGAUCCGGUGGUUCUGUAUGGAAGGGCCAUCGCUCAACGGAUAAAAGGUACUCUGGGGAUAACAGGCUGAUUCCUCCCAAGAGUUCAUAUCGACGGGGGAGUUUGGCACCUCGAUGUCGGCUCAUCACAUCCUGGGGCUGUAGCCGGUCCCAAGGGUAUGGCUGUUCGCCAUUUAAAGUGGUACGUGAGCUGGGUUUAAAACGUCGUGAGACAGUUUGGUCCCUAUCUGCCGUGGGCGUUGGAAAUUUGAAGGGGGCUGCUCCUAGUACGAGAGGACCGGAGUGGACGAACCUCUGGUGUACCGGUUGUCACGCCAGUGGCAUUGCCGGGUAGCUAAGUUCGGAAGAGAUAACCGCUGAAAGCAUCUAAGCGGGAAACUUGCCUUGAGAUGAGAUUUCCCGGAGCUUUAAGCUCCUUGAAGGGUCGUUCGAGACCAGGACGUUGAUAGGCUGGGUGUGGAAGUGCAGUAAUGCAUUAAGCUAACCAGUACUAAUUGCCCGUACGGCUUGUCCCG
rnacentral:rRNA from 1 species